UUCUGUUCCCCCUGAAAUAUUCUGUUCCCCUCUGAAAUAUUCUGUUCCCCCUGAAAUAUUCUGUUCCCCUCUGAAAUAUUCUGUUCCCCCUGAAAUAUUCUGCAGCCAGAGAGGCGGAUCCGACCGUCUUCACAGCUUUUCUGAUCAAUUUGUUUGGUCAAUUUACUCUUUAUUUGCCAGAGUUACAGGGGGGAACAUAAUAUGUCAGACAGCUGAAAUAAUCAGUUCCCCCUCUAUAACAUGGGAACAAAUUAUAUUUUCAACAAGUCCUUCACUGGGUUUAUCAGAAUCAGAAUCAGAAAAGCUUUAUUGCCAAGUACGUUUUUGGACAUACAAGGAAUUUGUUUUGGCGUAGUCAGUGCAAUACAAUACAAAUUAAACAGUAUAAACAUAUCUACAAUAUAAUAUAAAUAUAUGUGCACAGUUUUAAGUGAGUGAGAGUAAGUAAGUAAGUAAGUAUUCCUCUCAUCAUGGACAACAAGUCCUGUGAAUUUGGAAACAUUUGUUCUUUAUAGGCCCGAGAUACUUUGGAGGAAAAGUUCCGUUAUAUUGUUUUUAAAUUUCAAAGUUGUUACAGUAUUUUGCUAAUCUUUGGUCUUUUAAUACAUUUGCAGUCUAUUAAUGCAUUCAUUGCUAUAAUCGUGAAGGAUUACAACAUCCAGAAUACAGGUCAGGCUGCUUUUAUUGAUUCAUUUGCAAUGACAGCAAUGUGGCAGGGAAAAAGUCCAAGAUUAAAGGUAUAUCUCAUGUAUUUUAUGUGUUUAUGCGUGAGUUUUCCAUGUGGUAAUAACAGUUUUUAAUCAAUGAUAAGAUAAUAUGUUAUUGGUUGUGAUAUUUAUUCUUGAAUAUAUAUUACCAGGUUUUGCUGUAGCACUUAGAGCAAAUUCUAAUCUUGGUACAUUGUUUGUAUUACUAAACAUAUUUUUGGUUGGUGACAUCAAAACAUGUUUACUGCUUUUUUAAAACCACAGAUUAACCCAAUGGAUUAUGAAGUAAUUCUGGGAAUUAAUAAUCGUCACAACCACUGGACAUUAGUGGUAAGAAUUUGUUUUUAUAUUUUAAAAAUAUCUUAUAGAAUAGUUAUGUCAUAAGCAAAAGCCACAUGAAGACUGUUGAUUGCACACUUAUUAGGUGAUCUACCCACAAGACAAAAGAUCUUUGUUCUUGGAUCCACUGGGGGAGUCAAAGCAAGACAUCCAGAAAUGUUUGCAAAUCACGAGCUAUGGGUAGAUAUGAAACGUUAACUUAAGCAUUAAAUUCAGAUGACGGUUCUUCUUAUUAAUGUACCUAUAUUGACAGGGCAUUUAUGAAGAAGAAGGGAUGCAGUGUGUCAAGGUGAACAUGUGAUACUGUCAAACAUCCCAAACAACAGGACAGUACAUCAUGUGGAGUAUUUGCAUUGAAGUUUGCAGAAAGACUCCUUGCAAAAGAGGCUGUGGAUUUCCCUGUUUCCACAGAGGCGGUUAACAGCCUCAGGUUUGACAUUGCUGUGAAACUUCUCCUUAACAGUGGUGAGAAAUCUAAUAUUGUUCUACCAAAAGUUUCUUAUUUUAAAGUUUGCAUUAAUUGUUAUCUACAAAGAAUAUUUAGCCAAAAAUAACUACAUUGACAAUAGGGUCUGCAAUAACAUUUGUUUAAUAAAAUCUUUCCUCUUUGUCCACAAAUAAAUAAAUACAACCAUUAUAUUUUCUGUUGUUAUUAAACUUCAUAAUGCUACUUUUAUCACUAAUUAUGUCCAAACGUGGUACAUUCUCAUAGACAGCUCCUGAAUAAAUUGUUUGUGCUUACCACAUCCUGUUUAAUAGUUACCAGAUAGUAACCAGAUUUGCAUCUUGAAGCAAGUCACUGAGCUCCACAGACAAACAAACUUUGAAUCACAAAAGAUUUGCAGUGAAUAUGCAAAAACAAGAAAAACUGUAUAUAUAGGUAUAUUUUUAUACUUCACAUUUAUUCUUAUCAGAUGACUUAGAAGACUUGUGCCACUUCUGCGGAGAGAUGAAAAAAGAGACGGACUUGAACUGGGUAACAAAAUUAUAGAAUUAUUCAAACAUGUAUUGUUAGGAGGUUAAAUGGAGAGGACCUAAACUGUAAUUUUAACUUGCGUAAGCAAGCUUUGAUAGGAUCCUGCCCUCUUGCGGACCGAAGUUGGAAUGAGAAGGAAUAGAAAAUGAAUGGAUGUUAUAAUUGUAAACAGAUGUUUUUGCUGAAAAUGCCUUAUAUUAUUUGUCCUUUUUCUAGAUCCAAUGUGAGAUGUGCCUGAGGUGGUUUCAUCAGGCAUGUGUGGAAAGCCCACCAACAGAAAACACAUUUAAGUGCUUUGCAUGUUCUUUUUAGGUUUGUGUGUCUGCUGUGGUGUGCUUGUUUGUUUAGACUUUCUCUAAAAGUCAAUAAAUAACAUUUUGAAAAA